UUUUAAAUUAAUUUUAAUUAUAUUUUAUAUUUUUUAUAAGUGAAACCAAACAUGAAAAAAACUAUUUUUCUUAACAAUUUUUUUCUUCCCCUAGCAUUUUCCGGAACCAAACAUAACUUAAAAAGGGUAUUUAAACUCUUAGUGUAAAUCAAACACACAACACAAAAGGAAACAAGGAUUUAUUUGGUUUAGACUUCUACUAUGUGUUUCCCCUAUCUGUUUUUUUCUUCCAUUUUCACUGGCCUCCUUUCUCAGGCAGUUCCUAGAACCAGAGACAGACUUUAAACACUUAUUUACAGAAACGCUCAUCACGUUAAGAAAUAUCCUACUCAACCUUUGAUAUAAUAUUGAGAAUCUAGCUUGACUUGGCUGAUUUUUAAGUUGACUAAUAGUUUUAUCACGCUUGUUUUGACUUUCUGGUAUUAUAAAAUGGAGCAAUAAAAAAAGGAUGUAGAGAUGGGAUCGUGAAAUAAUAUGAAACAUCACUGACCAGUUUCAGAAAUGAGGCCUGUCCUGAUGAGUUCAGGUAUGGCUGAAAUCAACCCGUAAGUGGCAAGCAUGGCAGGCCAAAAUCCUGCUGCAGGUACCCCACAAUGAUCGGCUACCUUUAUAGCCCAAGAUGCUAGCAAAUCAACAACCAUACAUACAACUCGCCCAUCUUCAUCAAGCUUCCGAAUUAGGCGCUCCAAAUAAACUGGCAUGGUGUUCUCCAUAGUCAUCUCUAUGGUGAAAAAAUCACGGGGCAAGUCCUCAUCCACUCCAUCUGGUAUGGACAUGCACAAAAUCCCGUCCUUAGCAUCGACUCUAGGUGCAAUUUGACGGUGAAUGAAUUCCGGGGUGAUCAUAACCGGCAUGAAUCCUUGGGUAACCAAGCAUGAAGCCAGCUUAAGCAGAGGAGUGACAUGCCCCUGUGCUGGAUAUGGAACCAAAAGGAUCAUAGGCCUCUUCAUGUACUUCAUGUUUGCCCUCAAGUCAACAAAAUCCUCUACCCCUCCAGUAUCCGAGCCUUGUUUUGUUUCUCCAAACAAACCUCAACAAGCAUUAUAUAUAUACAC